CAUUUCUCCCUCCGGUAGCGCCGGGCACUCGGGCGCGGUAACUCUGGGCAUGGAGGGCGGCUUCGGUUCUGACUUCGGCUCCGGAGGAGGCGGCGGGGGGAAGCUGGACCCGGGGCUCAUCAUGGAGCAGGUGAAGGUGCAGAUCGCCGUGGCUAACGCACAGGAGCUCUUGCAGCGGAUGACGGACAAGUGCUUUCGGAAGUGCAUCGGGAAGCCCGGCGGCGCCCUGGACAACUCCGAGCAGAAGUGCAUCGCCAUGUGCAUGGACCGGUACAUGGACUCCUGGAACACAGUUUCGCGAGCCUACAAUUCUCGGCUGCAGCGAGAGAGAGCCAACAUGUGACGCCUACCGGACUCCGGGCCGAGAGGGACCAUGUGGGGAAGGGACAGCGGCCAGUCCAGCUUGGUUUACUUCUUGCCCUUCCUGGGUGUCCAGACUGGCCCAAGGCACUAUAUCAAUUGAUAAAUCCCUGCUGAAAGGGCUGCAACAGGCAAGGAACCUUCUGUGGAAAACAGGGGCCAAGCCAAGCCAGCAACACAGUACCCUUGCUCAGGAUUCCAGCAUGGACCCAUCCAUAAGGUAGUUACCCAGUCCCUUUCCAUAAGUGGAAAAGCUACUGGAAGAUUCUCCACAAGCCACCUAGGCUCUUUCAUCCCUUAUGUCUGUGUAGUGCUAUGCGGGGCUAUUGUAGGGCUCGUAGGCUUUGGCUCAGUUCAGGCCCAGUGUUGGGGAGCAAUACAGCCUCACAAAUAGUUGUAUGAGCACAGCUAGCGAUGAACAGGGUUGGGAAGUACUUAGCGUCUUUAUAGAAUAAAGUGUGUUGUGUGGCUGUGAUACUCUGUAGUUUUUGGUUUGGUUCUGGCACAGGUGUUCCAUCUUGGAGCCUACAUCCUAAACAUAACUUUUUUGAUGGAGGAGAAUGUCUGCAGCAGGGGAUGUGGGUCUGCUUUGGGGCACAGCUCUGUUGUUUUCUGCUUACACAUGGCUCCUGAAUAGGUUGGGUUCAUGCUGCGUAGUCAGCAGUGGAUAUAACAGCUGCAAGAGGAAAAUGUUGGAGAUUAACAGUGCCCAUAUAGUGAAUUUUUAAAAAUCCUUUCUUUUGAAGCUCUUCUGUACUUUAUGAAAGAUUUCGUGGUUUGCUUGACACAAAGACAGACUGGAAGAAUAACAUCUUCAUACCUGCUAGGACAUUCAGAGGGAUGUGAUAGAACCUAAAGUGUUCUCACACAAGGUAAACCAUAAGGAGAUAUUUGGGUAUUUGGACUUACUGAAACUGGAGUUUCCUUUCCAGACUGUCAGAAUGACUACUU